rnacentral:rRNA from 1 species
CCUACGGGGAGCAGCAGUGGGGAAUAUUGGACAAUGGGCGAAAGCCUGAUCCAGCCAUGCCGCGUGUGUGAAGAAGGCCUUCGGGUUGUAAAGCACUUUCAGUGGGGAAGAAAGCCUUGGGGCUAAUACCCUCGAGGAAGGACAUCACCCACAGAAGAAGCACCGGCUAACUCCGUGCCAGCAGCCGCGGUAAUACGGAGGGUGCGAGCGUUAAUCGGAAUUACUGGGCGUAAAGCGCGCGUAGGCGGUCUGAUAAGCCGGUUGUGAAAGCCCCGGGCUCAACCUGGGAACGGCAUCCGGAACUGUCAGGCUAGAGUGCAGGAGAGGAAGGUAGAAUUCCCGGUGUAGCGGUGAAAUGCGUAGAGAUCGGGAGGAAUACCAGUGGCGAAGGCGGCCUUCUGGACUGACACUGACGCUGAGGUGCGAAAGCGUGGGUAGCAAACAGGAUUAGAUACCCGAGUAGUA